rnacentral:rRNA from 1 species
AUACGAGGGGUGCUAGCGUUAUUCGGAAUUACUGGGCGUAAAGGGUGUGUAGACGGUUUAUUAAGUCUGUUGUUAAAUUUCUCGGCCUAACCGAGAGCUCGCAAUGGAUACUGGUAGACUUGAGGAUGGAAGAGAGAAGUGGAAUUCUCGGAGUAGCGGUAAAAUGCGUAGAUCUCGAGAGGAACACCGAUGGCGAAGGCAGCUUCUUGGUCCAUUCCUGACGUUGAGACACGAAAGCGUGGGUAGCAAACAGGAUUAGAUACCCUGGUAGUCCACGCCGUAAACGAUGAUCACUAGACGUCGGUUUUGCUUUGCAGAAUCGGUGUCGUAGCUAACGCGUUAAGUGAUCCGCCUGGGGACUACGGUCGCAAGACUAAAACUCAAAGGAAUUGACGGGGCCCGCACAAGCGGUGGAGCAUGUGGUUUAAUUCGAUGAUACGCGAGGAACCUUACCUGGGUUUGACAUGCUUCUGACCGAUGUGGAAACACAUUUUUUCUAUCUUUGAUAAGGACAGUUGC